GAUGAACGCUGGCGGCGUGCCUAAUACAUGCAAGUCGAGCGAACGGACGAUAAGCUUUCUUCUCUGAUGUUAGCGGCGGACGUUUGUGUAACACGUUGAUAACCUACCUAUAAUACUUGGAUAACUUCGUGAAACCGUAUCUUAUACCGGAUAAUCUUUUUAUCCGCAUGUUUCAUAAGUGAAUGACGGUCUUUCUGUCUCUUAUAGAUGUAUCCUCGCUUCAUUAGCUAGUUGGUAAGGUAACGGCUUACCAAGGCAACGAUGCAUAGACGAACUGAGAGGGUGAUAGGACAAACUGGAACUGAGAAAAGGUCAAGAAGACGAAGGGAGGCAGAAGUAGGGAAUAUUACGAAAUGGGCGAAAGCAUGAAGGAGAAAGGACGAGUGAGUGAAGAAGGUCUUCGGAUAGUAAAAAUCUGUUAUUAGGGAAGAAAAUAUGUGUAAGUAAAUGUGCACAGAGUGACGGUAACUAAUCAGAAAGAAACGGAUAAAUACGUG
rnacentral:rRNA from 1 species